rnacentral:rRNA from 1 species
GAUGAACGCUAGCGGCAGGCUUAAUACAUGCAAGUCGAGGGGCAGCAGGGAUAGCAAUAUUCGCUGGCGACCGGCGCACGGGUGCGUAACACGUAUACAAUCUGCCUUUUACAGGGGGAUAGCCUUUCGAAAGAGAGAUUAAUACCCAUAAUAGUUGACCGGGCAUCUGGUUGAUUUGAAAGCUCCGGCGGUAAGAGAUGAGUAUGCGCCUGAUUAGCUAGUAGGUGAGGUAACGGCUCACCUAGGCUACGAUCAGUAGGGGAUCUGAGAGGACUAACCCCCACACGGAUACUGAGACACGGAUCCGACUCCUACGGGAGGCAGCAGUAAGGAAUAUUGGACAAUGCCCGCAAGGGUGAU